GAUGAAGAACGCAGCGAAAUGCGAUACGUAGUGUGAAUUGCAGAAUUCAGUGAAUCAUCGAAUCUUUGAACGCACAUUGCACCUCUCGGUAUUCCGGGAGGUAUGCCUGUUCGAGCGUCAUUUGUACCCUCAAGCUCUGCUUGGUGUUGGGUGUUUGUUCCGCCUCUGUGUGUGAACUCGCCUCAAAACAAUUGGCAGCCGGCGUACUUGUUUCGGAGCGCAGCACAUUUUGCGAUCCAGAUCAACGUACAGCGGCAUCCAAGAAGCCUUAUUUAACGCUCUUGACCUCGGAUCAGGUAGGGAUACCCGCUGAACUUAAGCAUAUCAAUAAGCGGAGAA
rnacentral:misc_RNA from 1 species